GAUGAGCGCUAGUGGCAGGCUUAAUACAUGCAAGUCGAGGGGUAGCAAGAUUGUAGCAAUACAAUUGUUGACGACCGGCAAACGGGUGCGGAACACGUACACAACCUUCCUACAAGUGGGGAAUAGCCCAGAGAAAUUUGGAUUAAUACCCCGUAACAUAGCGAUGUGGCAUCACAUUGCUAUUAUAGCUUCGGCGCUUGUUGAUGGGUGUGCGGCUGAUUAGAUAGUUGGCGGGGUAACGGCCCACCAAGUCUACGAUCAGUAGCUGAUGUGAGAGCAUGAUCAGCCACACGGGCACUGAGACACGGGCCCGACUCCUACGGGAGGCAGCAGUAAGGAAUAUUGGACAAUGGACGCAAGUCUGAUCCAGCCAUGCCGCGUGAAGGAUUAAGGUCCUCUGGAUUGUAAACUUCUUUUAUAAGGGACGAAAAAAGGUCUUUCUAGAUCGUCUGACGGUACCUUAUGAAUAAGCACCGGCUAACUCCGUGCCAGCCGCCGCAGUAA
rnacentral:rRNA from 1 species